UACGUAGGUGGCAAGCGUUGUCCGGAUUUAUUGGGUUUAAAGGGUGCGUAGGCGGCCUAUUAAGUCAGUGGUGAAAUAUCUCAGCUUAACUGAGAAGGUGCCAAUGAUACUGAUGGGCUUGAGUACAGAUGAGGUAGGCGGAAUUGACGGUGUAGCGGUGAAAUGCUUAGAUAUCGUCAAGAACACCUAUAGCGAAGGCAGCUUACUAGGCUGUAACUGACGCUGAGGCACGAAAGUGUGGGGAUCAAACA
rnacentral:rRNA from 1 species